GCAAUAAUUUUAAGUAACCACCCCACUACAUAUGAAAAUUAAAUGACUGAAACAGGAAAAGCCAAAGAAUAUAACCCCCGUUUUAACAGAAUUGUGAGUUAAUAUGAACACUUAAAAAAGGAACAGAUAACAGCUUGGAUAGCUUUAAAUAACUUUCUGUGAUAACUUCUAAAUCCCCAAGGUUCUGUGUAACUUUGACAAAGACAUGGACCCAGAAUUAAUUGAUCUUAUCUUGGUUUCACUAUGGCACUGGCUGAUGAUGGCAAGGUCUGGAAAUAACACCUGGUGUCUGCAAGGAAGCUAACCCCUAUGUCAACCCUUCUCUCUGGGUUUGCGAGGAAGAGAGACAGUUGCAGCAGGAACAAAUUACUCCACCAAAAGAUAAAUGAAUUCUAAUCAUUAUAUUUGUCUUGGAGAGUCUGGAGACUCAGACAGUACCUCCCAGAGUUCUUUAGGAAAGAUUAUCUGGGCUUUGGGGAAGGAAACUUUGAGCCUGAACUUCAGGUUGAUGAUGUUAGCACACUCACAUCAAAAGGGAGGCUAGGAGGAGAGGCUGCAGAUGUAUAAUAUAGAGAAGGUAGGGAUCUUAGGCUGUCAAAAUAUGGCAAACAUGUGCUCAUUUUGUGUUGCUGAGCAAUCACCGGCGAGGAAUAUGUUUGCUGUGUUACUCUUGGGCUUUGGCAAUCAUGUUCAAAAUUCCUAAUGUGGUAUUAGUAAAGAUAAAGCAGAAAAUUUGACCCUUGGAGGUCCAGAAAGCAUUAAUUGGUAAUGGAAAUACUUCCCUCCAACAUUGUUGGUACCAACAGCAGAAGUUCUGACAGCAAGUCAAAGUACUGAUAGGGAGAGAGAGCAACAAGACUACUGAAUGGAAGUAGCAGCAGCAGCAAUAACAGUGACUGGCGGGGGUGAUCUAAGUAGCAGCCACUGAGAAAGAACACAGGGUCCCCAGGGCUCUCUCAGUGAGAGAGAAAGAAAGGAGAGUGCUAGGAUCUCCAUGAGAAUUCUGGGGAAAGGACCGGAAAAUCAAGGAAAUAACUAUUGCAAUUAUUGUAGAAAUUGUAAGUGUUCCCAAGUGCCCCACAGUCUAGCAAUAUAAGGGUUACCAGGCACACUAGUUUAUAUCCACUGAGACUUCUCAGAAUGUUCUAAAUGAGCUUAUGCCCCUUUCUUCAAAGGUGUUUUUGCCCUCCGGAUGAUGCCUCAGAGGCCCUAUUAAGGUCCCUCAGUCAAGGCUCAUGAUAAUUCUUUUAUACUGCAGUAGCCAAACACCAAGGUUUAAAACACAUGACUCACUUGGCUGAUUUGACACAACGCAGAGAAGACCUAGGUACUUCUGGCAAGAUAUUCCUUCCACUUCUCCAUUUACCUGGCUUCUGAUGUCUUCUGAA
rnacentral:lncRNA from 1 species